AUGCAUAUUAGUCGGGUUCGUUAACCCCUGAGCCACAACAAGAACUCCAGGAGCCUAUUUUUUAAUGCACAAUAACUUAGAAGGAUGUGAGGCUUUGCCAAGGGCUGUGGAGACAUAGUGCUGCGUGGAGACUGAAGAACACUGAUAGGAUACCGUUCUUCAACCUGCGGAAGGAAUAGGACCUUCACCCUUCCAGGUCAGGUAUUUUUCCAGGGCAUCAUUUCAUUCCUUGUGUCUCAGUGCAGUCAUGAGGCUCCUAGGGCAGAACUGAAUCAACCCCUCAAUGCCCGCCGUUGCCUAAGAAGUGGGUACUGUGGAGCAUGUGCGACCGUGGGACAAUGGGGAGGGGUGCUGACUCAGAAACGAGGAUGCACAGGAGACCCUGACUUUGCAGGGAAGAUAUCUUGCACUGGAGGUGCUGUUGACCCUCUUAGUGCAAAUGCCCAGCAGGCAGAGGGGAGAUGGGUGGAUGAGAAGAUGAACCAGGGUGCUGAGGAAGACAGCACUGGAGCCCACACAUCGUCUGUGUUUAAAAGGAAGCUUAUAAAUAUUUAAAUUAGUCAUCCAGGUAUGCUAUAAAUUACAUGACCCCGAAGUCAUGGGAAUUGAUAGAGGCUCAGUGAGGUCACCAUGGGAACUGCCUUGUGGGGACAAGGGGCACCCCUCCUCCUCUGCACAUGCUCACAAGGUCCUGAGCUGGUGAACCUCCCAUUGCUGCCUUGACUCUGCCAUGGGCACUGGGCUUCUCUGCCGGGCGACCCUCUGGCUCCUGGGGGCAGGUCACGCGGGAGCUGGAGUGUCCCAGUCCCCCAGGCACAGGGUCACAGGGAGGAACCAGACUAUUGCUCUCAGGUGUGAUCCAGUAUCUGGUCACGUUUCCCUUUACUGGUACCGACAGACGUUGGGACAGGGCCUGGAGUUUCUGACUUAUUUUCAGAGCAGUGGCGAACUAGACAAAUUAGAGCUGCGUAAUGGCCGGUUCUCUGCUGAGAGGCCCGAGGGCUCCUUCUCCCACCUGAAGAUUCAGCUGGUGGAGCCAAAGGACUCGGCUGUGUAUCUCUGUGCCAGCAGCUUAGUCACAGUGUGGCACCGCCACUUCCUUCCUGUUCACAAACCCCCAUGUGCCCACUUCUCCCAUAGUCUCUGGAAAUCCCCAAAUAAAGGAGGUCCCCCGUUCUUCCCUCAACGGGGGAAUAAGUGGAUUUGGGAUUCUAGCUAUUCUAAUUGUAGGAGGUCAGAAAAUAGCCUUUGA